rnacentral:rRNA from 1 species
AUUGAACGCUGGCGGCAGGCCUAACACAUGCAAGUCGAACGAGUGGCGGACGGGUGAGUAAUGUCUGGGAAACUGCCUGAUGGAGGGGGCUAACUACUGGAAACGGUAGCUAAUACCGCAUACCAUCGGAUGUGCCCAGAUGGGAUUAGCUAGUCGGUGGGGUAAAGGCUCACCUAGGCGACGAUCCCUAGCUGUUCUGAGAGUAUGACCAGCCACACCGGAACGGAGACACGGCCCAGACGCCUACGGGAGGCAGCAGUGGGGAAUAUUGCACAAUGGGCGCAAGCCUGAUAGAGCCAGGCCGCGUGUAUGAAUAAGGCCUUCGGGUUGUAAAGUACUUUCAGCGGGGAGGCGUUACCCGCAGAAGAAGCACCGGCUAACUCCGUGCCAGCAGCCGCGGUAAUUC